ACCGUUGCGUUAGCUGCCUCAUUGCGGUUAGCGCACUACCUUCGGGUGAACCAACUCCCAUGGAGUGACGGGCGGUGUGUACAAGGGCCGGGAACGUAUUCACCGCAACAUGCUGAUCUGCGAUUACAAUCGAUUCCCACUUCUUGCGCUCGAGUUGCACAGUGCAAUCCGAACUGAGAUGGCUUUUGUAUAUGGCUCGACAUCGCUGUCUCGCUGCCCACUGUCGCCACCAUUGUAGCACGUGGGUAGCCCACCCCGAAAGGGCGAUGAGGACUUGACGUCAUCCCCACCUUCCUCUCGGCUUAUCACCGGCGGUCCCCUUAAAGUGCCCAACUAAAUGCUGGCAACUAAGGGGGAGGGUUGCGCUCGUUGCGGGACUUAACCCAACAUCUCACGACACAAGCUGACUACCGACAUGCAUGACCUGUUCUGGGGCCAGCCUAACUGAAGGACAUCGUCUCCAAUGCCCAUACCCCGAAUGUCAAGAGCUGGUAAGGUUCUGCGCGUUGCUUCGAAUUAAACCACAUGCUCCACCGCUUGUGCGGGCCCCCGUCAAUUCCUUUGAGUUUUAAUCUUGCGACCGUACUCCCCAGGCGGAAUGUUUAAUGCGUUAGCUGCGCCACCGAACAGUAUACUGCCCGACGGCUAACAUUCAUCGUUUACGGCGUGGACUACCACGGUAUCUAAUCCUGUUUGCUCCCCACGCUGUCUCACCUCAUCGUCAGUAAUGGACCACUAAACCGCCGUCGCCACUGGUGUUCCUCCGAAUAUCUACGAAUUUCUCCUCUACACUCGGAAUUCCACUUACCUCUUCUAUACUCAGAUACCCACUAUCAAACGGCAGUUCAGCAGGUGAGCUGCGGGAUUUCACCCCUGACUUAAAUAUCCGCCUACGUGCACUUUACUACCCAGUAAUUACUGAACGACGCU
rnacentral:rRNA from 1 species